UAGGGAAUAUUGCACAAUGGAGGAAACUCUGAUGCAGCGACGCCGCGUGAGUGAUGAAGGCCUUCGGGUCGUAAAGCUCUGUCGCAAGGGAAUAAAAAAAUGAAUGUACCUUGCAAGAAAGGAUCGGCUAACUUCGUGCCAGCAGCCGCGGUAAGACGAGGGAUCCUAGCGUUGUUCGGAAUUAUUGGGCGUAAAGCGGGUGUAGGUGGCUUUGUAAGUCAGGUGUGAAAGCCUAGGGCUCAACCCUAGAAGUGCAUUUGAUACUGCGAAGCUUGAGUGUUGGAGAGGAUAGUAGAAUUCUUGGUGUAGUGGUGAAAUACGUAGAUAUCAAGAGGAAUACCGGAGGCGAAGGCGGCUAUCUGGCCAAACACUGACACUGAGACCCGAAAGCGUGGGGAUCAAACA
rnacentral:rRNA from 1 species